rnacentral:rRNA from 1 species
GAUGAACGCUAGCGGGAGGCUUAACACAUGCAAGCCGAGGGGUAGAAGAAGCUUGCUUCCUUGAGACCGGCGCACGGGUGCGUAACGCGUAUGCAAUCUGCCUCUAUCACAGGGAUAGCUUGGGGAAACUCAAAUUAAUACCUGAUAAUAUAAGAAUAAGCAUUUAUUUUUAUUAAAAGAUUUAUCGGAUAGAGAUGAGCAUGCGUAGGAUUAGAUAGUUGGUAAGGUAACGGCUUACCAAGUCUACGAUCCUUAGGGGGCCUGAGAGGGUGAUCCCCCACACUGGUACUGAGACACGGACCAGACUCCUACGGGAGGCAGCAGUGAGGAAUAUUGGACAAUGGGUGAGAGCCUGAUCCAGCCAUCCCGCGUGAAGGAAGACGGUCCUACGGAUUGUAAACUUCUUUUAUAUAGGAAUAAACCUACUUACGUGUAAGUAGCUGAAGGUACUAUAUGAAUAAGCACCGGCUAACUCCGUGCCAGCAGCCGCGGUAACAC